GCGCGAAAACUCUACAAUGCAGGCAACUGCGAUAGGGGGACAUCGAGUGGCAUCCACCUUGGGUGCCUGUCCAACCGUCUAAAAAACGGUUGUUAGCAAGGGCCGGGUAAGACCGGUGCCAGCCGCCGCGGUAAUACCGGCGGCUCGAGUGGUGGCCGAUAUUAUUGAGUCUAAAGGGUCCGUAGCCGGCUUUGCAAGUCCCCUGGGAAAUCCAGCGGCUUAACCGUUGGGCUUUCAUGGGAUACUACAUUGCUUGGGACUGGGAGAGGUAGGAGGUACUCGGGGGGUAGGGGUGAAAUCCUGUAAUCCUCCGGGGACCACCGGUGGCGAAGGCGUCCUACCAGAACAGGUCCGACGGUGAGGGACGAAAGCUAGGGGCACGAACCGGAUUAGAUACCCGGGUAGUCCUAGCCGUAAACGAUGCCCGCUAGGUGUCACGACGGUCGUGAAUCGUCGUGGUGCCGUAGGGAAGCCGCGAAGCGGGCCACUUGGGAAGUACGGCCGCAAGGCUGAAACUUAAAGGAAUUGGCGGGGGAGCAC
rnacentral:rRNA from 1 species